AGUCCUCCAUUACCGCCUGUGAAACGACAGAAGAGAGACGGAAGCGGGACUGACAACAACGCAAGGUCUGAGAGGGGCUCCAAGAGUAAACUUGAGUGUGCGUGGACAUCAUCAGCCACAAUGAGCAUUCUCAAGGUGUUCACUGUUGCCCUUGUGCUGUUUGG